rnacentral:rRNA from 1 species
GCCUACGGGGCGCAGCAGUAGGGAAUUUUCGUCAAUGGGCGCAAGCCUGAACGAGCAAUGCCGCGUGAACGAGGAAGGUCUUCGGAUCGUAAAGUUCUGUUGAAGGGAAAAAGAGCGGAGAGAGGAAAUGGUCUCCGAUUGAUAUUACCCUUCGAGGAAGUCACGGCUAACUACGUGCCAGCAGCCGCGGUAAUACGUAGGUGGCGAGCGUUAUCCGGAAUGAUUGGGCGUAAAGGGUGCGUAGGCGGCCUGCUAAGUCUGGAGUGAAACGCAUGAGCUCAACUCAUGCAUGGCUUUGAAAACUG